CUGCAAGCCAAGGUCCGUUUUGCACGCAGAGCGGCCGAUAUACCUCGCUUCGUACAGUCUGGCCAAAUUAAAGUGGCAAAACAGAAGAGUGCAGAUACGAAACAGCGAUGAGUGUACGAAUAUCUUUAUGACGUAGUCGUGUGGCGCAGAAUCGUUCCCUCGCCAGUGAAUAACGUGAACCAAAUUUUCUUGCAGUAGGAGAGAUGCUUCUUUACGGUACCGUUCGCCGUUGUGACCAGUCUUUGACCCAGAUUCGGUCAUAUUCAUUAGGGGUAAUCGCAAAUGGUACAGGGAUAAAGUAAUAAAAAGUUCCGUGGCCAUUGGAAGUCAGACUUUGACGGACGUUCACGACCUCGCCAAGUGUUUGGCGUGCGGGGAGAUAUUUGCAGCUUUUUCGCACUGCUAAUUGGCAACCUCUGACCUUUAACAAGAAUUAGAGGAGCCUAGCCUCGGCACGGUUCAUGGAGGGAUGUAAUAUGCGCGCACAUACUCGAAUCACGUGGUUCCGAAAAAUUACCUCGGUUUGAGCGUUUUUCUCGAAAGAAGAUUUUUUUGAACUUGCUUUUGUUGUUCUGAGAUCGAAAUUAUGACUUCCACAAUGCACGGAAAUUGCCAACGCGAAUGAGGACCUGCUGUGGGACGUAGCUAAAUAACUUGAUCAAUUACGAAUCAAAUGACUUGAAAAAACUGCCAGAUCUUGUUCAAACUGGUAAUAAA